GUUGGGCCCAAAUCCCGACGAAAGCUAAAAAGCGAUGUUUGAUGAGCCCGCGUAGUACUAGAUAGUCGGUCGGGUAAAGGCUAACCAAGCCAAUGAUGCUUAGCUAGUCCUUUCGGAUGAUCAGCCACACUGGGACUAAGACACGGCUCAAACUCCACAGAGGGCAGCAGUGAAACUAGAAGAG